UGGGGAAUUUUGGACAAUGGGCGAAAGCCUGAUCCAGCCAUGCCGCGUGAGUGAAGAAGGCCUUCGGGUUGUAAAGCUCUUUUAGUCGGAAAGAAAGAGUUGCAAUGAAUAAUUGUGAUUUAUGACGGUACCGACAGAAAAAGCACCGGCUAACUACGUGCCAGCAGCCGCGGUAAUACGUAGGGUGCGAGCGUUAAUCGGAAUUACUGGGCGUAAAGGGUGCGCAGGCGGUCUUGCAAGUCAGAUGUGAAAGCCCCGGGCUUAACCUGGGAAUUGCGUUUGAAACUACAAGGCUAGAGUGCAGCAGAGGGGAGUGGAACUCCAUGUGCAGCAGUGAAAUGCGUAGAGAUGUGGAAGAACACCGAUGGCGAAGGCAGCUCCCUGGGUUGACACUGACUCUCAUGCACGAAAGCGUGGGGAGCAAACA
rnacentral:rRNA from 1 species